GGCCGCGAGCUGGGCCCCGGCCCUCAGCACCGGCCCCCGGCCCGCGCGCGGCCCCUGUGCGGCCGCGGCUGCGACCCCGGCUCCGGCCCCGGCCCCGGCUGCGAGCUGCGCUGCCGUCCCGGCGCCUCUUCAGCAGGGGAGCUGCACAGCAGCUGCCAUGUUGAUACAAACUGCAUCCUGGGAGGCAUGUCCCUCUCAGGCCGUUUAAAGAGAAACACUCCGAGGCUCGUCGGAGGCUGCCGGAACCCAGACAGCUCCAUCUACAGCCGGUAGGAGCGAACAGUGUCGAGCGAGCAGCCAGGCGGCGGCGGACACGCCCUGAGCCCCGGGCCAGCCCGUCGUGGAGCAGGGCCGAACCGCUCGGGCCUCCCGCCCCCGGGCCCCCCGGCCUCUCACCUGGGGUCCUCGCCUCCCCGGGCACCCUGGGGCGAGAGCGGGAGGCGGGCGAGCCGCGGAGAAAGGAAGCGCGCAGCCGAGGCGACGUGCUGGGGUCUGGAGGCGGCUUGAUUGGUCCGACAGCCUUCCUCCCGCCGGAUCCCCCUGCUCCUCUCAGACCCAGAACCCGGGUCGUUGCCUUUCAAGACCUGCGCUCACAAAGGGAUCUAAGAAACCCGUCACACCGAAGGGAGCCCGGAGUUCAUGUGACCGGCUCUGUGCAGCCCGGGUUCCAGGGAAGCGGGCUCUGCUUCCAGGGGUGGCACGGGGGCUGGGUGGCUUUUGUGAAAUGCCCGAGUGUUGUUUUUGACAUGAAAGGCCGGGAUUCCGAGAAUCAUAGGGUGCCAGGGCCGCAAGGGGCCAGGCCCGUCAUUUGGGAGGAAACUGAGGCCGAGUGGCAAGUGACUUGUUUACCCUACGUUGCGGUUUCCGUCUCUCGAAUGGAGGCUCUUUCUAACCACGAGAGAUCCCCAAAGAAUGGAGGAGCGCAGAGUUGGCGGCUUCCCUUCCUGGACAGGUCCACUUGUACACACAUAUUUAUGGAAUACCUACCAGGUGGAAAGAACUGGAAAUGAAAUAAAAGGAGAGAGUACAGGCAGGCUUCCUCCCUACAGAGGAAGGAAGACAAACCUGCUCUCGGGAACAUCUACAUACCCGUCUCCCUGUGCACCCUGUGGGAGCUUCUCUCCCAGAGACGCCGAGACCCUCCGUGCUGGGGGACAGGAGCAUCUUCAUCUCCGCUAGACUUGCCAGACUGCUCACCAGAGAGGGGCACCUGGUGACAUGCCCACCAGCUGUGCAGGGGGGCCUGUUUUCACUUUCGAUAAGACUUGGAACCUCUGCCAGCCCCGUGGAUGUGAAAUGGUAGUUCGUUGUUUUACUUUGUAUUGUAUUUGUAAUUCCCCAAUUAUUAAGGAAAUGGAACAUCUUUUCAUAUUCACUAGACAUUUGGUUUCUUCCUCUGUGAGUUUCCUCUUCAUAUCUUCUGUCAGUGUUUCUGUUGUGACGUCUUUUUCUUACUGGUUUUAACGUGGUUUUAAAAAACAUAUUCUGGAUCUUAAUCCCAUCACCAAACACUUCAUGUGCUGACUGAUACGACUGCGUUUAAGUCCGCCACCUUACUAGUUGUUUUCUGUGUGUUCCAGAUGUUCAGUGAUACUCUUUUCUCCCCAUCUCCUUUUGUUGACCUGCUUUUGGAUAGAGUAUUUAAAAAAUGAUUCUGUUUUUCACCAUUCAUUUAUUAUUAUGCCUCAUUUUUAGUGGUUGCCCUAAAUUGUAAAAUAGAGAUCUUAAACUUUUAACAGGCUAUUUCAUAUAAUUAUACCACUUCACCUAUGGCCCCCUAACCUUAUGACAAGUUGUCCACCACCCUUUGUGCUAUUGUUGGCAUACAUUUUAUGUUUCUAAAUGUUAUGGUACGAUCAGGAAGUGUGAGUCCUCCAAUUAACCUCUUCUUUUUCAAGAUUGGUUUAGGCUAUUCAGGAUGUCUUAAACUUCCAUAUGAAUUUUAGCAUCAGUUUGUCCAUUUCUGAAAAUAAGCUAGCUAGAAUUUUGAUGGAGCUCUGAAGUUAGCAGAACAGCUAAAAGCCUGCUAAGAAGCACCUAGAUUAAUCUAUGAUCAUUCUUUACAGAUGGAUGUAUGGUGGGCAUUCAAUAUUAAUAAUUUUGGAUUUUCUUGUUACCAAAAUAAAAUGAAAGACCUGAAUAGUUAAUUAACUGAUUUGAAUUUAUCUUUCUUCAUCUUCGAGAAUAUAUAAAAUGUGGAAUAAUAAAAUAUACUUUAUAUCUGGCAUGUUCAAUACAAAUUUACUUCUAUAAUUAUAUAUAUUCUUGGUAUAUUUUUCCCCCUAAGUUUACCAACUGUGUAUUUGACACAUAAAUAUUUUGUAAUCAGCUGAAAAUUUUUCUUACGAACUUUUUACAGUAGGAGUUGUUGCAAGAUACGAACAUGUAAAGCUGUAUUAAAAUGAAGUGAAUGAAA